CCAGGACCCACCACUCCCCAGGAUAUACAAAUCUAUGUAUACCUAGGUGGGUCCUGGAGUUGGCUCUGCAGAACCCAUCUUUGUGAAAAGUCAGCCCUCGCUAUAGGCAGACUUCACAUCCCACAAGUACAGUAUUUUCCAUCUCAGUUUGGUUGGAAAAAUCCACAUCAAAAAACACAGGUCAAACCUGUGUUGUUCAAGGGUCAACUGUAAAUGAUUUCAUGGAUAAUCGAAGAACCCUACAACUGUGCAUUCCCCCUCCCAUCUUUUUUUCUAUUGUUGUACGUAUUAGUCAGGGUUCUCUAGAGGGACAGAACUAAUAGGAUGGAUGUAUAUAUAAAGGGGAAUUUAUUAAGGAGUAUUGACUCAGACAGUCACCAGGUGAAGUCCCACAAUAGGCCGUCUGCAAGUUGAAGAGCAAGGAAGCCAGUCUGAGUCCCAAAACCUCAAAAGUAGGGAAGCUGACAGUGUAGCCUUUAGUCUGUGAUCGAAGGUCCAAGAGUCCAAAAACUGAAGAACUUGGAGUCUGAUGUUUGAGGGCAGGAAGCAUCCAGCACGGGAGAAAGAUGUAGGCCAGAAGACUAAGCCAUUCUAGUCUUUCCACGUUCCUCUGCCUACUUUUAUCCUAGUCAGGCUAGCAGCUGAUUAGAUAGUGCCUACCCAGAUUGAGGGUGGGUCUUCGUCUCCCAGUUCGGUGACUCAAAUGUUAAUCUCCUUAGGCAGUACCCUCACAGGCACACCCAGGAACAAUAUUUUGCAUCCUUCAAUCCAAUCAAGUUGACACUCAGUAUUAACCACCACAUUGUACAUUUUACUUCUACAUAUGUUACAAGCCAUGUAACACAUUGUUCUUAUUUUUAUUGUAGAUAAUUAUUUCUCUUUAACAGCUUUAUUGAGAUAUAAUUCAUAUGCCUUAUAAUUCACCCAUGUAAAGUGCACAAUUCAAUGGUUUUUAGAAUAUUUAUGGAGGUGGGCAACCAUCACCACUAUCCAAUUUUACAUUUUCAUCACCCCUAAAGAAAACCUUCCUAUUACCAUUUUUCAUUCCUGCCC
rnacentral:lncRNA from 10 species